CCUACGGGAGGCAGCAGUAGGGAAUCUUCCGCAAUGGACGAAAGUCUGGCGGAGCAACGCCGCGUGAGUGAAGAAGGUCUUCGGAUCGUAAAGCUCUGUUGUUAGGGAAGAACAAGUAUCGGAGGAAAUGCCGGUACCUUGACGGUACCUGACGAGAAAGCCACGGCUAACUACGUGCCAGCAGCCGCGGUAAUACGUAGGUGCCAGCAGCCGCGGUAAUCCGUAGGUGCCAGCAGCCGCGGUAAU
rnacentral:rRNA from 1 species